UCCUGUGAAAUUCCAUGAAGGUGAAAGUAAGAGCCGGUCCCCGCAAAAAAGAUGGUGUCUUUCUUCAUAACCAAGCGUUCAUUAGUUCCAAGGGAGCGAAAAGCAUUAAACUUUUUAGACAAAACUGAAUUGGGUUGCGUGCACAUCCUUAGCAGAUUGGACAAAGCUUUCGUUUUUUUGGUUAUAAUUUGUUUCUUCUUCUUUUAUUUUUUUGGGUGUAUCUGACAGUGAUUAAUGAUUAUAGAAUUGUCAUGUUGGAGCAGCAACAGAAGCAAGGGGAAGAAUGGUUGGGAUUGAGUUUCAGACCCCAGAAUUACAUUCCAGGCCUUGUGAUUGGUUUCAUUCUUGGGUGGGUCGUGGAUUUGACAAAGCCUGCGAAAAAACCCUGUUAGAAGGAGAAAUCUUUUGCCCGGAAAGCACAAGGAGGUGUCUUUGGUCUCGAGUGGCGGCCUGCAAGAGCUUUAGAUGGUUCUGGUUGUUAGGCAAGAUUUGAAGAUGGGACCAGGAAAAGUGGCAUCUCAAUGUGCUCAUGCUGCCAUGGGGAUGUAUGCGGAACUGAUGCAGAGCAAUCAGUUUCUUUUAAGACAGUGGGAGCAAUGCGGGCAGCCCAAGAUCGUCUGUACAUGCAAGAAUCAACAAGAAAUGAAUCAGCUAAGAGAAGCUGCUGAGAGCACCGGCCUUCCAACUUUUGUAGUCACUGAUGCUGGAAGAACUCAGGUAGCCGCUGGUUCAAGGACUCUACUUGCGAUAGGACCUGGACCAAAGGCAUCAGUUGAUUUGAUUACUGGAAAAUUGCACCUGCUUUGAUGUACCGAAGAACGAAGGCAUGCACGACUAAUUCUCUGACUCAUUGGCUGAUUCGAUCAUCACUCCAUUAUGGUCUUGAGGUUCUGAUCCAUGUUGCAUUUGGCAUAGGUCAUGAUAGUACGAGUCUUGGCUAACCUCCAUCAGUCCAUACCAUUUUCUUCUGCACAUGAAUUUGUAACAGCCAGUCGACUUAAACUUCUACCUGUUGGUUAGAAAUUGAUAUGAAAA